CCUACGUGAGGCAGCAGUAGGGAAUUUUCGGCAAUGGGCGAAAGCUUGACCGAGCAAUACCGAGUGAAUGAUGAAGUAUUUCGAUAUGUAAAGUUCUUUUAUUAGUGACGAAAAGGCCCGCAAGGGAGAUUGACGGUAGCUAAUGAAUAAGCCCCGGCUAACUACGUGCCAGCAGCCGCGGUAAUACGUAGGGGGCAAGCGUUAUCCGGAAUUAUUGGGCGUAAAGGGUGCGUAGGUGGCGAUGUAAGUUUAUGGUUAAAAUGCUGGGCUCAACCCAGUAGCGCUAUGAAAACUGCAUUGCUAGAAUCUGAAAGAGGUAAGUGGAAUUCCAUGUGUAGCGGUAAAAUGCGUAAAUAUAUGGAGGAACACCAGUGGCGAAGGCGGCUUACUGGUUCAUGAUUGACACUGAGGCACGAAAGCGUGGGGAGCAAACAGGAUUAGAUACCCUGGUAGUCCACGCCCUAAACGAUGAGUACUAAGUGUUGCCAUAAGGCAGUGCUGAAGUUAACACAUUAAGUACUCCGCCUGAGUAGUACGUACGCAAGUAUGAAACUUAAAGGAAUUGACGGGAGCCAGCACAAGCGGUGGAGCAUGUUGUUUAAUUCGAAGAUACGCGAAGAACCUUACCAGGUCUUGACAUCCCUUGCAAAGCUAUAGAGAUAUAGUGGAGGUUAACAAGGUGACAGGUGGUGCAUGGUUGUCGUCAGCUCGUGUCGUGAGAUGUUGGGUUAAGUCCCGCAGCGAGCGCACCCCUUGUCGUUAGUACCAUCUUUAAGUUGGGGACUCUAGCGAGACUGCCAGUGAUAAACUGGAGGAAGGCGGGGAUGACGUCAAAUCAUCACGCCCUUUAUGACCUGGGCUACAAACGUGCUACAAUGGUUGUUACAGAGUGAUGCAAACUCGCGAGAGCAAGCAAACCACA
rnacentral:rRNA from 1 species